rnacentral:rRNA from 1 species
UACGUAGGUGGCAAGCGUUGUCCGGAAUUAUUGGGCGUAAAGCGCGCGCAGGUGGUUCCUUAAAUCUGAUGUGAAAGCCCACGGCUCAACCGUGGAGGGUCAUUGGAAACUGGGGAACUUGAGUGCAGAAGAGGAAAGUGGAAUUCCAAGUGUAGCGGUGAAAUGCGUAGAGAUUUGGAGGAACACCAGUGGCGAAGGCGACUUUCUGGUCUGUAACUGACACUGAGGCGCGAAAGCGUGGGGAGCAAACAGG